CCUUUAACAUGGUUUCCAUCACUUUCCCUACUACUGAAGUAAGGCUUACUGGCCUAUAGUUGCAAAUGGGCACAACAUUCGCUAACUUCCAAUCUUCUGGGACUACUCCUGUUAGCAAUGAUUGGUUAAAUAAAUCUGUUAAUGGUUUUGCUAGUACACCACUAAGCUCUUUUAAUAGCUUUGGGUGUAUUCCAUCAGGUCCCAUUGACUUAUUUGUCUUUACUUUUGACAGUUGAAAUAGAACCUCUUCCUCUGUAAACUCACGUGUAAUAAAU